UACGUAGGGUGCGAGCGUUAAUCGGAAUUACUGGGCGUAAAGCGUGCGCAGGCGGUUCGUUGUGUCUGAUGUGAAAGCCCCGGGCUCAACUUGGGAAUGGCAUUGGAAACUGGCGAGCUAGAGUGUGGCAGAGGGGGUGGAAUUCCGCGUGUAGCAGUGAAAUGCGUAGAGAUGCGGAGGAACACCGAUGGCGAAGGCAGCCCCCUGGGCUAGCACUGACGCUCAGGCACGAAAGCGUGGGGAGCAAACAGG
rnacentral:rRNA from 1 species